AAAAUGGAACAAAAUGAUCCAAAUAUAAUCCUAACACAACAAUAUAUCCUCAAAAGAAUUUGCUAGGGAAAAGACCAAAAUGCCCUUAAUGAUUUCCGGACGGAUUUCUUGUCAACUGCCCAACUUUCAAAGGGCCAUAACUCGCUCAUACGAACUCGGAAUUGAGCAAACUCGGCGGCGUUGGAAAGAUCAUUCCACAAGCUUCACAACCAUAACUGGAACUACUUCUAACUCAUCCUGAGCUGGAAGUUAUGACUGCUCAAAGUUGGCCAAAAACCACUGAUUUCCACACUUAGCCAAUUUUCCAGAUUUUUCAAAUCCUUUCCGAAAAUGAAAAAUUUCAAAUUCUAA
rnacentral:lncRNA from 1 species